rnacentral:rRNA from 1 species
UGGGGAAUAUUGGACAAUGGGGGAAACCCUGAUCCAGCAAUGCCGCGUGGGUGAAGAAGGCCCUAGGGUUGUAAAGCCCUUUCAGCGGGGAAGAUGAUGACGGUACCCGCAGAAGAAGCUCCGGCUAACUCCGUGCCAGCAGCCGCGGUAAUACGGAGGGGGCUAGCGUUGUUCGGAAUUACUGGGCGUAAAGGGCGCGUAGGCGGCGCGCCGAGUCAGGCGUGAAAGCCCCGGGCUCAACCUGGGAACUGCGCUUGAUACCGGCGGGCUCGAGUCCGGGAGAGGAUGGUGGAAUUCCCAGUGUAGAGGUGAAAUUCGUAGAUAUUGGGAAGAACACCGGUGGCGAAGGCGGCCAUCUGGCCCGGCACUGACGCUGAGGCGCGAAAGCGUGGGGAGCAAACAGGAUUAGAUACCCCCGUAGUCC